rnacentral:snRNA from 1 species
AUACUUACCUGGACGGGGUCAAUGGGUGAUCAUUAAGACUCAUGGCCUUGAUUGGUGGCCUCCAUUGCACUUUGGAGGUGCACCCGUCUAAGGUCUGUCCAAGUGACUUGGGCAGAACCUACGUCUUAAUUUGUGGUAGUGGGGUCUGCGUCCGCGCAGCCCCUAC